GCUCCUAUAGCUCAAUGGUAGAGCGCCGGUCCCGUAAACCGAGGAUGCCGUUUCAACUACGGCUGGGAGCUCCA
rnacentral:tRNA from 1 species